UGUCAAGGGAUGGGAAUCGAACCCACGACCUUCCGCUUGCUUACCGGGCAGAUGCCAUGACCACUAGGCUACCCUGGAC